GAUGAACGCUGGCGGCGUGCCUAAUACAUGCAAGUCGAACGACGCGAGGACGGGUGAGUAAAACGUGUAUAAACUACUAUACGACUGGGAUAAAUUCGGGAAACCGGAGCUCACACGGAUAAUUAUAAAUGGAUCCGCUCUGCAUUUGCUGGUUGGUAAGGUAACGGCUUACCAAGGCACCGAUGCAUCGCCGACCGUGGAGGUUGAUGGGCCACACUGGAACUGAGAACCGGUCCAGACUCCUACGGGAGGCAGCAGUAGGGAAUCUUCCGCAAUGGGGGAAAGCCUGAUGGAGCAACGCCGCGUGAGGGAGGAAGGUCUUCGGAUCGUAAAACUCUGUUAGUAGGGAAGCGGUACCUAAUCAGAAAGCCACGGCUAACUACGUGCCAGCAGCCGCGGUAAUUC
rnacentral:rRNA from 1 species